rnacentral:rRNA from 1 species
ACAUGCAAGUCGAGCGAGAUCUUCGGGUCUAGCGGCGGACGGGUGAGUAACGCGUGGGGACGUGCCCUUUGCUACGGAAUAGUCCUGGGAAACUGGGGGUAAUACCGUAUACGCCCUUUUGGGGAAAGAUUUAUCGGCGAAGGAUCGGCCCGCGUUGGAUUAGGUAGUUGGUGGGGUAAUGGCCUACCAAGCCGACGAUCCAUAGCUGGUUUGAGAGGAUGAUCAGCCACACUGGGACUGAGACACGGCCCAGACUCCUACGGGAGGCAGCAGUGGGGAAUCUUAGACAAUGGGGGCAACCCUGAUCUAGCCAUGCCGCGUGAGUGAUGAAGGCCUUAGGGUUGUAAAGCUCUUUCAGCUGGGAAGAUAAUGACGGUACCAGCAGAAGAAGCCCCGGCUAACUCCGUGCCAGCAGCCGCGGUAAUACGGAGGGGGCUAGCGUUGUUCGGAAUUACUGGGCGUAAAGCGCACGUAGGCGGACCAGAAAGUUGGGGGUGAAAUCCCGGGGCUCAACCUCGGAACUGCCUUCAAAACUAUUGGUCUUGAGUUCGAGAGAGGUGAGUGGAAUUCCGAGUGUAGAGGUGAAAUUCGUAGAUAUUCGGAGGAGCACCAGUGGCGAAAGGCGGCUCAC